UACGGAGGGGGCUAGCGUUGUUCGGAAUUACUGGGCGUAAAGCGCGCGUAGGCGGCUUUGUAAGUUAGAGGUGAAAGCCCGGAGCUCAACUCCGGAAUUGCCUUUAAGACUGCAUCGCUAGAAUCAUGGAGAGGUGAGUGGAAUUCCGAGUGUAGAGGUGAAAUUCGUAGAUAUUCGGAAGAACACCAGUGGCGAAGGCGACUCACUGGUCCAUUACUGACGCUGAGGUGCGAAAGCGUGGGGAGCAAACAGG
rnacentral:rRNA from 1 species